GAUGAACGCUGGCGGCGUGCCUAAUACAUGCAAGUCGAGCGAACGGACGAGAAGCUUGCCUCUCUGAUGUUAGCGGCGGACGGGUGAGUAACACGUGGAUAACCUACCUAUAAGACUGGGAUAACUUCGGGAAACCGGAGCUAAUACCGGAUGAUAUUUUGAACCGCAUGGUUCAAAAGUGAAAGACGGUCUUGCUGUCACUUAUAGAUGGAUCCGCGCUGCAUUAGCUAGUUGGUAAGGUAACGGCUUACCAAGGCAACGAUGCAUAGCCGACCUGAGAGGGUGAUCGGCCACACUGGAACUGAGACACGGUCCAGACUCCUACGGGAGGCAGCAGUAGGGAAUCUUCCGCGAUGGGCGAAAGCCUGACGGAGCAACGCCGCGUGAGUGAUGAAGGUCUUCGGAUCGUAAAACUCUGUUAUUAGGGAAGAACAUAUGUGUAAGUAACUGUGCACAUCUUGACGGUACCUAAUCAGAAAGCCACGGCUAACUACGUG
rnacentral:rRNA from 1 species